UACAGAGGUGCCAAGCGUUGUUCGGAUUUAUUGGGCGUAAAGGGUGCGUAGGCGGUCAUACAAGUCGGAUGUGAAAUACCGGAGCCUAACUCCGGAAUGGCAUUCGAAACUGUAAGGCUCGAGAUCUGCAGAGGUGAUUGGAAUUCUCGGUGUAGCAGUGAAAUGCGUAGAUAUCAAGAGGAACACCUGAGGUGAAGACGGGUUGCUGGGCUGACACUGACGCUGAUGCGCGAAAGCCAGGGGAGCAAACGGG
rnacentral:rRNA from 1 species